CUUUGACUCUAUCUGGUC
rnacentral:snRNA from 1 species